rnacentral:rRNA from 1 species
UACAGAGGGGGCAAGCGUUGUUCGGAAUUACUGGGCGUAAAGGGCGCGUAGGCGGCCUGCUAAGUCGAACGUGAAAUCCCUGGGCUCAACCCAGGAACUGCGUCCGAUACUGGUUGGCUUGAAUCCGGGAGAGGGAUGCGGAAUUCCAGGUGUAGCGGUGAAAUGCGUAGAUAUCUGGAGGAACACCGGUGGCGAAGGCGGCAUCCUGGACCGGCAUUGACGCUGAGGAGCGAAAGCUAGGGGAGCAAACGGG